rnacentral:rRNA from 1 species
UACAGAGGUCCCGAGCGUUGUUCGGAUUUACUGGGCGUAAAGGGCGCGUAGGCGGCGCGGUAAGUCACUUGUGAAAUCUCUGAGCUUAACUCAGAACGGCCAAGUGAUACUGCAGUGCUAGAGUGUGGAAGGGGCAAUCGGAAUUCUUGGUGUAGCGGUGAAAUGCGUAGAUAUCAAGAGGAACACCUGAGGUGAAGACGGGUUGCUGGGCCAACACUGACGCUGAGGCGCGAAAGCCAGGGGAGCAAACGGG